rnacentral:lncRNA from 1 species
UAUUUUGGCCAGGAGCUGAAGUUGGUUGUUUAGUAGUAGUAGUUUGAGUAGUGACCGAAGUAGUAGUCUGGUGUGUGGGUGCAAGAGUAGUUGGGGAAGAAUUAGGUGUGGUAAUUGGGGCAGCUGUGGUCUCUUGUGGAGCUGGGGAAGACGGUGGAGCUGGUGUAGUUGCAGAAGGUGUGGGUGGGGCAGCUGUGGUCUCUGGUGGAGCUGAGGCGGAUGAUGGGUCUAGGGUAGUUGCAGAAGGUGUGGGUGGGGCAGCUGUGGUCUCUGGUGGAGCUGAGGAAGAUGGUGGAGCUGGUGUAGUUGCAGAAGGUGUGGGUGGGGCAGCUGUGGUGUCUUGUGGAGCUGGGGAAUUCACUGGUGCUAAUGUAGCUACAGAAGAGCUUGUGUUAACAUUUUCUCUUGAAGAUAUGGUGGUGGCAUUCUGGGGAAGAAAAGUCACAUUUGGAAGGGUAGUAAUUUUGGUGGCUGGUGAGGAUUUGGGAAUUUGGGGGGGUUAUUAGGUGAAGGUGGAAGCUUAGGCCUACAGCGUUUGUGCAG